rnacentral:rRNA from 1 species
UACGGGGGGGGCAAGCGUUGUUCGGAAUUACUGGGCGUAAAGGGCUCGUAGGCGGCCAACUAAGUCAGACGUGAAAUCCCUCGGCUUAACCGGGGAACUGCGUCUGAUACUGGAUGGCUUGAGUUUGGGAGAGGGAUGCGGAAUUCCAGGUGUAGCGGUGAAAUGCGUAGAUAUCGUAAGGAAGACCAGUGGCGAAGGCGAGUCUCUGGACAGUUACCGACGCUGAGGCACGAAGGUCAGGGGAGCAAACGGG